GUCUAUGGCCAUACCACCCUGAACGCACCCCAUCUCGUCUGAUCUCAGAAGCUAAGCAGGGUUGGGCCUGGUUAGUACCUGGAUGGGAGAAAAAGAAAGAUUCAGUCAGUAAGUUGUUUUGGAAA
rnacentral:rRNA from 1 species